GAUGAACGCUGGCGGCGUGCUUAACACAUGCAAGUCGAACGGGAAACCUUUUAUUGAAGCUUCGGCAGAUUUAGCUGGUUUCUAGUGGCGGACGGGUGAGUAACGCGUGGGUAACCUGCCUUAUACAGGGGGAUAACAACCAGAAAUGGUUGCUAAUACCGCAUAAGCGCACAGGACCGCAUGGUCCGGUGUGAAAAACUCCGGUGGUAGAAGAUGGACCCGCGUUGGAUUAGCUAGUUGGCAGGGUAACGGCCUACCAAGGCGACGAUCCAUAGCCGGCCUGAGAGGGUGAACGGCCACAUUGGGACUGAGACACGGCCCAGACUCCUACGGGAGGCAGCAGUGGGGAAUAUUGCACAAUGGGGGAAACCCUGAUGCAGCGACGCCGCGUGAAGGAAGAAGUAUCUCGGUAUGUAAACUUCUAUCAGCAGGGAAGAUAGUGACGGUACCUGACUAAGAAGCCCCGGCUAACUACGUG
rnacentral:rRNA from 1 species